UAUGGGGGGGGCAAGCGUUGUUCGGAAUUACUGGGCGUAAAGGGUUCGUAGGUGGCCAACUAAGUCAGACGUGAAAUCCCUCAGCUUAACUGGGGAACUGCGUCUGAUACUGGUCUGGCUUGAGUGCAGGAGAGGAACGCGGAAUUCCAGGUGUAGCGGUGAAAUGCGUAGAUAUCUGGAGGAACACCGGUGACGAAGGCGGCGUUCUGGACUGCAACUGACACUGAGGAACGAAAGCCAGGGGAGCAAACGGG
rnacentral:rRNA from 1 species